AUGGCAUAGCGACAGUAAUCGAUCGUGUGAACGUCACGGAUUCGACAAUCGGCAACAUUAUUUCAUUAAGGAGUUUCGCAUGGUUUAGCACGGCAACAUUGUAUCGCCUGUACCGAAACUCCUUAAGGAUGGAGAAACAAAGAACGCGGAAGUGGCAGCAUUUUUUUCGUACUCCUGGGAUCAGUGGCUGGCAAUUAGUCACGAGAUUGUUAAACGGCUCUCGAAAUGAGAGAAGGAGGUCAAGAGGAGUGAAAAAUUUUAUCGAAAUUCGUACAAAUUCGGUUUCGUCUCGACUCAAUUAUCAUUUUCGGGCCCAAUUAAUCCUCUUCGCAAUAAAAUAUUCAGGGUCACCCGAAGCAGCGACGGUUCACCGAGUCAGAGGUCUUCGAUUGCGCGACGCAACGAAACUUGAGUGUAAACCGCGAAAGUAAAAAGAAAAGCUGAGCAGUGCGGCGGGGAAAAACGGAGCGAGUCUCUCGAGCACGCCCCGACAACGACGACUCUUUGCUCGCUCCUCUCAUACCGUCUGCGGGAUCGAAGUCUCGCUUUCGUGAACUAGAUUAAUUGUCGAUCAAAGAGCACGCAAUCGUUGCACCCAUCAUACUAUUUGUAUGCGUGUAUAAAUAAACAAAUAAAAAACUUA